UGAAUGCAGUAUUCCAAAAGUAGUCUCGCCUUUAAAAAAGUAUCAGGGACGACUUUCUCCAUAAGAAUGUGCCUGUAUGCUGGACAUGCCAUUUUGGAGCUAAAGAGGUCCUUGUAGCAUCAGAACCCAGAUACAAAGGAAGCAAAUUUUACCUUCAAGACGUUUCCAAAUUUGGCACUGUUUGUGAAAAGAUUGUCUCAACUUCCUUCUCAUUUUCAACGAAUUCAACAAAAUCACUUGCUAGCCAGGCCAUCUUCUAAUCAAAGGGAAAACCUACUACCAGGUCAAGUACUACACUGAUUGGUUCCAGAAAAUGUUUUUCUAAGAAACUAAGAAAAUCCCAAUUGUACUCUAUAUCAUUUUGCCGUAUGAAGCCAAGGGAAAUUUUUCUUGCAUUACCAAUAUUUUAUUAACACAAUAUAUUGCCUCAGUGAAGGUAAGCUGUGAGCCAGGGGAUGGUUCUGUAAAAUGAUGAGGAUAUGGUCGAUUAUGGCGCACCUCUCAUGUUCCCUAUCACCAUGGCAUUUUACCAAAGGCAAGGAAGGUGGAAGAAGGCCUUUAAAUCCAGAAGCUAAAUAAUUUUCAAAGCAAGUAAGAUCCUCAGUCAUAUCUUGAUAACAGAGGUCCAAAUGCUGUGGCCUGAAUUUUGGAAGAGCUCGGUCUAUUACGGGAUUGUCCUUGGGAAGUAAAACUGUUGAUGCACUGUCUUGGGGAGCAAAGAGUCUUUGCAUUUACGUUGACAACCAGCUCACAUUCUGUCAAUAUCAAACAGCACCAGAAGCUACCUGACCAGAUAGUUCUUACUAUCUCCAACUAAAUUUCUCCAUGUGGUUUCGUUUACGAUUCAAGAGAUGCAUGUUCAAAUCCUACUAUGAAAGCUGGG